rnacentral:lncRNA from 1 species
UGAAUAUAUUGCUUGAUAUAAGGUCAACACAAAUAAGUAAUCAUCAAAAUUCAAAAGUAUCGUGGAAGGUCCAAGCACAUCCUCAUAUCACUCCUUAGCAAAUUGAUCUUCAAUGAUUUAGAUGUGCUUUACUUCUUUGUGUAGAUGACCCUUAAAGUUAGCUAUCUGUAUUGGCUGAUUACCAAUCAUAUAGAGAGGGUAAUGAGAACAGAAGAGCAGAGAACAAGUUGGAUCAUCAUUUCUUCCCUUAAAGGUCCAAUCUCCAAAACAGUUUCCUGAACUCAUUAACUUGUUGGAGCCAAUCAUAUCAUCUCCAAUCCGAGGAUGCCCAUCUUGGCUUAAUUGUAAAUAACUUAGAAUAUUCUUUGCCAUUUAAAACCUUCUUAGGGCCUGUUUGGUUGGGGUAAUUUAGCAUGGGAAAAUAAAUCCCAUGUCAGAUUACUAUGUUAGGUAAGAAAAGUGGAUGAGAGAGAUAGCAAGAUAAAUGGUGAAUCCCAAAUCUAUUUUUUUGAGAGAGAAGGUAAAACAAAUACCACCAGGAGGCUGGUAUUUGUUUUCCCACGCUGGAUUAUCGAGUGGGGAUAAUAUGAAAAUGUCAUUUCUUGAUGGAAAUGCCUUUACUUAUAUUAUAUUACUUAUAUUAUAUAAUUAAUAUUAAUUAUAUUAAUUAUAUUAAUAUAUUAUAAAUAUACUAAUAUAUUAUUUAAUAAUAUUUAUAAAUACUAAUAUAUUUAGUGUGUAUAUAUAUUAAUAAAUAUUAAUUAUUAAAAAUAAUCUACAAAUAUUUAUUAAUUAACAAUAAAU